rnacentral:rRNA from 1 species
UACGGAGGGUGCAAGCGUUGUUCGGAAUCAUUGGGCGUAAAGGGCGUGUAGGCGGCUUUGCGUGUCUUUCGUGAAAUCCCUCGGCUCAACUGAGGACGUGCGGAAGAAACUGCAGGGCUGGAGUCCGGGAGAGGAGGGUGGAAUUCCCAGUGUAGCGGUGAAAUGCGUAGAUAUUGGGAGGAACACCGGUGGCGAAGGCAGCCCUCUGGACCGGUACUGACGCUGAUGCGCGAAAGCGUGGGGAGCAAACGGG